rnacentral:rRNA from 1 species
GCGUGUGUGAAGAAGGCCUUCGGGUUGUAAAGCACUUUCAGCGGGGAGGAAGGCGUUAAGGUUAAUAACCUUGGCGAUUGACGUUACCCGCAGAAGAAGCACCGGCUAACUCCGUGCCAGCAGCCGCGGUAAUACGGAGGGUGCAAGCGUUAAUCGGAAUUACUGGGCGUAAAGCGCACGCAGGCGGUCUGUCAAGUCGGAUGUGAAAUCCCCGGGCUUAACCUGGGAACUGCAUUCGAAACUGGCAGGCUAGAGUCUUGUAGAGGGGGGUAGA